ensembl:lncRNA
CUGAGCCUCCCGCAGCCCUGGCUCAGUCUCCCAGAAGGGGCGGAAACAUAGUUUCUAACACUCAGGUUUUGGGAUGUGCAAAACUGAUACACUAGUCUGUUAGGGGGAAAAAAAGACAAGGAAGAAAUAAAAAUGGAAAUUAGCAGCAAUCAGUAUGAAGCAUAUAUCUUUAUGAAUAAGACUUAAUCACACACUUCAUUUUGCAAAUACAAAAGGGCCUUUUGAAAUGCAUUAAUUAAAGUUAAACGCUAGAGACAGGCGCUUUGUGUGGCGGAGGUCCUCUCCCCAUUAGCGUGGCAUUAACGACAGCCGCGGAAAUUGGGUUAAUAAAGCCGGAUGUCGUAGCAGAGCCGCCCGCACAAACCCGAGCGGACAGCUCGGUGCCCAGGGCGGCCGGCGGGCUGCGCGGCGCGGGACCCCGGAUGGUGGCAGAAUUCCGGGCUGCGCACCGACUUAAAAGAGACAGACCCUGUCUUCGCACCAACUUUAAAACAGACAGACCCCACCCUGCUCCAACCGGUCUGGGCGCCGCCCCCGCGUACUCACCGGUGGCCCGGCCUCCUCCCCGGAAACGUGCGGCCGGUUGGCGGGGAGGGGCUAGACCGGGCCCUCCCCUGACAUCCCAGGGCCAAGUGAGGGCGCGGGCUGUGAGGACCCCUUCUCCGUGCAGCCGCCGUUAAGCAGAGGGCGAGCCGCAGUCUCCAUCCAGCUCCACCCGGGCCGCGCCCGGGCGAGGAUGUCCUGGCGGAGCGCUGCGGCUGAGUCGUCCAGGGCUGUUCAGGGGACAAAUUCCGCAGACUUGGAGGCAGCUGGCGUUGGUCCAUCUACCUCUAGAGGUAAGCGCCUCUAGGCAGACAAGUAAAUAAACAUCACAAACUCAGACUUGGGAAAGCCGGAAAGCCACUCCUCGGGGCUUCUUGCGUCCAAAGUCCAGUUCCGCUGCAAACGACAGUUGCAGGGCGGAGUCGGGGUGCGUCGGAGCGCUCGGCUGCGGGGCUGCGGGCGCGCAGGGGUCGUGGAGCCGGCAGAGGCCGGAGGCGCCGGGCGCCGCGCAUCCUCAGGGACACGCCCACGCAGAGUGCGGCCCUGCAGUCUGGCCACAGCGGCCAACCCGGGCCGAGGAGGCGCCCGAAGGCGAGGGCCACGACCCGCCAAGCCCGGCUACGCUCUGUCCUCGCGCUCCGCGAGCCCGGGGCAGGCGCCAGGCAAGACCCCCUGUUCGGGAUCGUGCUAGUCUUCGCUUCCGCUGCGGCCCUGGUUUUCUUUUUGAGGUGUUUGCAAAGCGCCGAGGGCGUCCCGGAGAAGGAGGCGCACUUGUCUGGGCAGGGCAGCGCGGCGGCCGCUGAGAAAGGGUACACGGCGGCCUGGCCGAAGGGCGUCAAGGGCGCGGCGGCCACGGGCGUGGCCAAGCCGGGGCCCUGGUUGAGGAAGGCCACGAGGCGCCGCAUCUCGUCCAGGGCCUGCGCCUGCAUGAGGAUGUAGUUCUUGGCGAGCAGCAGCGUGGCGAUCUUAGACAGCUUGCGCACCGACGGGCUGUGCGCGUAGGGAAUGACGGCGCGCAGCCCGUCCAGCGCGUCGUUCAGGUCGUGCAUACGCCGCCGCUCGCGCGCGUUGAUGCUCAGCCGCAGCGAGCGCUGCUCCCGGGGCCGCCGCCGCCCGUCCGCCGCGCCCCCCGGCCCGGCCCGCCGCCCGCCGCUGCUCGAAGGCGUCGUCCUCGUCGCCGCUCUGCUCGCCGCUGCUCUCGGCCGCCGCGCCCGCACCACGGGGCCCGGGCGCCUCGGGGAGGUCGCCGCCCGGACCCGGCGCACCGUAGCCGCGGGCCGCCUCGGGCCCCCGGGCCGCCCCGUAGGCAAGGCCUGCCGCCGCCGCCGCCGCCGGGUAGCCGUGGCUCAGCGCCAGAUACGCGUCCCCGGACAGCGACUUGAGCUCGGCCAUGGUCGCGCCGCCGGGGCCCAAGGGCUGGCUGGGCGGGCGGGCGCUCAUGCGGCCGUGCCCGCGCCGCCCCCGAGGCCCGCCCGAGCCGGCCGCUGCCGCCGCGGUGCCGCUGCCGGCUCCGCGCGUCCGUCUGGCUGGCUGUCGGUCCCCGAGCCUCCGCGCGCGGGGCCUCUCUGGCCCGCCUGGGCCCCACCUCCUGGUCGACUCCUCCUCUCCGUCCUCUUCUCCCCCCCGCCCUCCUCCACCUCGGCCAUCUCCUCCUUCCUCCUCCUCUCUUUCUCCCCCCGCCGCUCUCCGUACUCCCCGCUGCCGCGCGCAGGGCUGGCCCGGGGGCGGGCUCUAGCUCCCACUCGCCGGCUCCGGUUUUAAGGUGCGGACGCGCCCGCUGGGACUUCGCGGCCAUCCAAUCAGAGGGGACCUGGUGACGGCCUCUUUCUGGAGCCUGGCUCCACUAGUGGCGCGGACCCACGACCUGGGGUGAGGGCACCGCCGAGGUGGAGGGAGCUGGAGGUCCGAACGGGGAUAGGGAGGGGCGGCGGGGACCCGGGAGCGCAUCGCCUGCUUCUCGGCGUCCCCUGCUACUACCGCCUGCCAGACCCAGGAGUUGCCAUCACAGAACGCUCGCUUCCCCGUGGGCACUCUCCUCGGUCCGUGUCGCCCUCGGUCCCUUUCGCAGGGGCCGCCUCCAGCGUCGCGCAGGGCUCGGAGCAGGGAGCGCGCAGCACAACUGCGGACACCCCGACCCGCCGAGGCCGGAGCAGGUGCGGAGCGCACGCCUGGGGCCCUCCUCCGGGGUCUUGGGCGCGCAGCCCAGUGCGGGCGCCCUCGCCGAGCCGCUGCACAGCCUCGUGACCCGAGUCGGCAGACUGCGCGCUCCGGGCGCCCUGUGGGCCGGCUGGGCCGGGAGGCGCCGUCGGGGACUUGCCCGCCGCCGGCCGUUUCCUGGGCCUCCUGCUCCGCCACGCAGUUCGCCGGGACAAGUGCGUCCUGAGGUUUCUUCCACGCUCCCCCCCAGGUCGUAGUGACUUGAGGCAGGGGUUGCAGUUUGAGGACAAAACCUGUUUCAAUUACCUGGUAUUUCAGAUGAAAGGUUUUUUCCAUGACUUGCCUGACUAUAGAGGGAGAAUUUUCUGUUUUCUACUUGGGGGCGAGGGCUCCCCGCAUGGCGUUGGGGAAGAUGGCAGGCUCUGCUCGAAAGAGAUGGUGCUGCUGGUCACUCUCCAAGCCAGUGAGAGACGGGUGGGGAUGAGUCAUAUGUCCUGGAGCCUGAAUCUCAGCUAAGACCCCUCCAGGGACGCUGCGGUGGUGCCCCCAGGUGGGCGUCAGACCAGAGGUGCUGUCUGAGCACCUGCAGGGUGGCAGGCUGAUGUGUGAUGCCUGGUUCUGCAAUUCUCCCACUAGCCUGGAGUGGGGUGGGGGGCUCUGCUGGUCAUUGGGCACAGCUUUCCUCAGGGUGAGGGGUGGGCUGGCUGGCCAGGAGAAGUCCCAGCAGCUGGGGGUUAGGGGCGGGGAUUGAUCCAGCCUGUCUGAAGGUUGCGGAGGGGUGGGGUAGUGAUGGGGAACCCCAUGAGCCGCUCAAACCGGGAAGGAUAGGAAGCUGAGGGCAGCCCGGUUCCUUCCUCAAACCCUGCGUCCCUGUUUCCCGAUACGCUGAGGGAACGGUUUAGCCCGUCAGCUCUCUGCCAGUGCACCCCCAGCUGACCUUCCUCCAUGUUCCUUGACCCAAAACUGGAAAUGCGGUGAGCGCAGGGUGCCUCGCAGGACUUGUGCCCCAGCUUCCAGAGGUGCCACCUCCUCUCGCAUCAGCCCCAUUUGAUGGGAAUCCUGCCAGCCUUGGGACCCACCUUUGCAAUCCUUCCAACGGGGUGAAGGCCAGGACCCCAAACUUUCUCCCAGGUUCUGGAAAUCCAGCAGUGAUUGGGAUCCUGGCUCUCAAGGACUUCCAUGCUGGGUGCGAGUGUUCGAGAAGACAGGCAUGGACACGGGGAUAAGCCAUCACAGGACGCCAGGUUUUCUGUGCUCUGGGCCCUGCAGAGAGGAGGCGUGGGCUAACGUGUCUGCUCCCACUGGCAGCCUGGGUCCCCCCGGCUGCACGUUCCAGAGGGCCUCACCCGCCAGUGCACCCUGGCCUGGAGUGCAGGUGGGCUCGUCUUUGGCAAAGGUGAGAAGGGUGUGGGUGAGGCCCUUUCCAAGAAGGGCCUGUGGACUGGCCCCUGGGUGCAGGUCAGGCACAGGCAGGGCAGUGGGGCAGCCUGGCGUGGACAGGGCCGUGGUGUUUGGGCCGUGGUCUGAAGGGUAUGUGGGUGUCAAUUAGGCCAAGAGACUGACAUGGG